rnacentral:rRNA from 1 species
CUAAGAGCGAAUGGUGGAUGCCUUGACUGGUAAAGGCGAUGAAGGACGUACUAGACUGCGAUAAGCUACGGGGAGCUGUCAAGAAGCUUUGAUCCGUAGAUUUCCGAAUGGGGCAACCCAAUGUAUAGAGAUAUACAUUACCUAUAUAGGAGCGAACGAGGGGAAUUGAAACAUCUUAGUACCCUCAGGAAAAGAAAUCAAUAGAGAUUGCGUCAGUAGCGGCGAGCGAAAGCGCAAGAGGGCAAACCCAGUGCUUGCACUGGGGGUUGUAGGACUGCAAUGUGCAAGAGGUGAGUUUAGCAGAACAUUCUGGAAAGUAUAGCCAUAGAGGGUGAUAGUCCCGUAUGCGAAAAACAAACCUUAGCUAGCAGUAUCCUGAGUAGGGCGGGACACGAGAAAUCCUGUCUGAAGCCGGGUCGACCACGAUCCAACCCUAAAUACUAAUACCAGAUCGAUAGUGCACAAGUACCGUGAGGGAAAGGUGAAAAGAACUGAGGUGAUCAGAGUGAAAUAGAACCUGAAACCAUUUGCUUACAAUCAUUCAGAGCACUAUGUAGCAAUACAGUGUGAUGGACUGCCUUUUGCAUAAUGAGCCUGCGAGUUGUGGUGUCUGGCAAGGUUAAGCAAACGCGAAGCCGUAGCGAAAGCGAGUCUGAAUAGGGCGCUUAGUCAGAUGCUGCAGACCCGAAACGAAGUGAUCUAUCCAUGAGCAAGUUGAAGCUAGUGUAAGAACUAGUGGAGGACUGAACCCAUAGGCGUUGAAAAGCCCCGGGAUGACUUGUGGAUAGGGGUGAAAGGCCAAUCAAACUUCGUGAUAGCUGGUUCUCUCCGAAAUAUAUUUAGGUAUAGCGUUGUGUCGUAAUAUAAGGGGGUAGAGCACUGAAUGGGCUAGGGCAUACACCAAUGUACCAAACCCUAUCAAACUCCGAAUACCUUAUAUGUAAUCACAGCAGUCAGGCGGCGAGUGAUAAAAUCCGUCGUCAAGAGGGAAACAACCCAGACUACCAGCUAAGGUCCCUAAAUCUUACUUAAGUGGAAAACGAUGUGAAGUUACUUAAACAACCAGGAGGUUGGCUUAGAAGCAGCCAUCCUUUAAAGAAAGCGUAAUAGCUCACUGGUCUAGUGAUUUUGCGCGGAAAAUAUAACGGGGCUAAAGUAAGUACCGAAGCUGUAGACUUGACUUUGUCAAGUGGUAGGAGAGCGUUCUAUUUGCGUCGAAGGUAUACCGGUAAGGAGUGCUGGAGCGAAUAGAAGUGAGCAUGCAGGCAUGAGUAGCGAUAAUUAAUGUGAGAAUCAUUAACGCCGUAAACCCAAGGUUUCCUACGCGAUGCUCGUCAUCGUAGGGUUAGUCGGGUCCUAAGUCGAGUCCGAAAGGGGUAGACGAUGGCAAAUUGGUUAAUAUUCCAAUACCAACAUUAGUGUGCGAUGGAAGGACGCUUAGGGCUAAGGGGGCUAGCGGAUGGAAGUGCUAGUCUAAGGUCGUAGGUGCUUAUACAGGCAAAUCCGUAUAAGAAUACACCGAGAACUGAAAGGCUUUUUGAAGUCUUCGGAUGGAUAGAAGAACCCCUGAUGCCGUCGAGCCAAGAAAAGUUUCUAAGUUUAGCUAAUGUUGCCCGUACCGUAAACCGACACAGGUGGGUGGGAUGAGUAUUCUAAGGCGCGUGGAAGAACUCUCUUUAAGGAACUCUGCAAAAUAGCACCGUAUCUUCGGUAUAAGGUGUGGUUCGCUUCGUAUUAGGAUUUACUCCGAAAGCGAAGAAACUUACAACAAAGAGUCCCUCCCGACUGUUUACCAAAAACACAGCACUCUGCUAACUCGUAAGAGGAUGUAUAGGGUGUGACGCCUGCCCGGUGCUCGAAGGUUAAUUGAUGGGGUUAGCGUAAGCGAAGCUCUUGAUCGAAGCCCGAGUAAACGGCGGCCGUAACUAUAACGGUCCUAAGGUAGCGAAAUUCCUUGUCGGUUAAAUACCGACCUGCAUGAAUGGCGUAACGAGAUGGGAGCUGUCUCAAAGAGGGAUCCAGUGAAAUUGUAGUGGAGGUGAAAAUUCCUCCUACCCGCGGCAAGACGGAAAGACCCCGUGGACCUUUACUACAGCUUGACACUGCUACUUGGAUAAGAAUGUGCAGGAUAGGUGGGAGGCUUUGAGUAUAUGACGCCAGUUGUAUAUGAGCCAUUGUUGAGAUACCACUCUUUCUUAUUUGGGUAGCUAACCAGCUUGAGUUAUCCUCAAGUGGGACAAUGUCUGGUGGGUAGUUUGACUGGGGCGGUCGCCUCCCAAAUAAUAACGGAGGCUUACAAAGGUUGGCUCAGAACGGUUGGAAAUCGUUCGUAGAGUAUAAAGGUAUAAGCCAGCUUAACUGCAAGACAUACAAGUCAAGCAGAGACGAAAGUCGGUCUUAGUGAUCCGGUGGUUCUGUGUGGAAGGGCCAUCGCUCAAAGGAUAAAAGGUACCCCGGGGAUAACAGGCUGAUCUCCCCCAAGAGCUCACAUCGACGGGGAGGUUUGGCACCUCGAUGUCGGCUCAUCGCAUCCUGGGGCUGGAGCAGGUCCCAAGGGUAUGGCUGUUCGCCAUUUAAAGCGGUACGCGAGCUGGGUUCAGAACGUCGUGAGACAGUUCGGUCCCUAUCUGCCGUGGGCGUAAGAAGAUUGAAGAGAUUUGACCCUAGUACGAGAGGACCGGGUUGAACAAACCACUGGUGUAGCUGUUGUUCUGCCAAGAGCAUCGCAGCGUAGCUAAGUUUGGAAAGGAUAAACGCUGAAAGCAUCUAAGCGUGAAGCCAACUCUAAGAUGAAUCUUCUCUAAGCUCUCUAGAAGACUACUAGUUUGAUAGGCUGGGUGUGUAAUGGAUGAAAGUCCUUUAGCUGACCAGUACUAAUAGAGCGUUUGGCUUAUCU